AUACGUAGGUGGCAAGGCGUUGUCCGGAUUUAUUGGGCGUAAAGCGAGUGCAGGCGGUCUUUUAAGUCUGAUGUGAAAGCCUUCGGCUUAACCGAAGAAGGGCAUCGGAAACUGGGAGACUUGAGUGCAGAAGAGGAGAGUGGAACUCCAUGUGUAGCGGUGAAAUGCGUGGAUAUAUGGAAGAACACCAGUGGCGAAGGCGGCUCUCUGGUCUGUAACUGACGCUGAGGCUCGAAAGUAUGGGUAGC
rnacentral:rRNA from 1 species